rnacentral:rRNA from 1 species
UGGGGAAUAUUGCACAAUGGGCGAAAGCCUGAUGCAGCAACGCCGCGUGAGUGAUGAAGGCCUUCGGGUUGUAAAGCUCUGUCUUUUGGGACGAUAAUGACGGUACCAAAGGAGGAAGCCACGGCUAACUACGUGCCAGCAGCCGCGGUAAUACGUAGGUGGCAAGCGUUGCCCGGAUUUACUGGGCGUAAAGGAUGCGUAGGCGGAUUUUUAAGUGAGAUGUGAAAACCCUAAGCUUAACUUGGGGACUGCAUUUCAUACUGGAAAUCUAGAGUGCGGGAGAGGAGAAUGGAAUUCCUAGUGUAGCGGUGAAAUGCGUAGAGAUUAGGAAGAACACCAGUGGCGAAGGCGAUUCUCUGGACCGUAACUGACGCUGAGGCAUGAAAGCGUGGGUAGCAAACAGGAUUAGAUACCCUGGUAGUCCACGCCGUAAACGAUGAGUACUAGGUGUAGGAGGUAUCGACCCCUUCUGUGCCGCAGUUAACACAAUAAGUACUCCGCCUGGGAAGUACGAUCGCAAGAUUAAAACUCAAAUGAAUUGACGGGGUCAUAGCUGUUUUCCU